rnacentral:rRNA from 1 species
GACGAACGCUGGCGGCGUGCCUAAUGCAUGCAAGUCGCACGCACCGUGCUUGCACGGUGAGUGGCGCACGGCUGAGUAGCACGUGGAUCACCUGCCCCACGGUGGGGAUAACGCCGCGAAAGCGGCGCUAAUCCCGCAUACGCUCGCAAGAGGAAAGCGCCUCGGCGCGCCGUGGGAGGGUCGUGCGGCCCAUCAGGUUGUUGGUGUGGUAACGGCGCGACCAAGCCCGCGACGGGUAGCUGGUCUGUGAGGACAGGACAGCCAGACUGGGACUGAGAUACGG